GGAUGUGAGGACGACUGGCUGUGACAUCCGUCACCCCAUUGAUCGCCAGGGUGGAUUCGGCUGAUCUGGCUGACUAGGCGGGUGUCCCCUUCCUCCUGCACCGCUCCACGUGCAUCCCUCUCGAAGCUGCGCGCUCGGUGGAAGAGGACGGCCUUCCCCGAUAGAGGAGACCGUUCUUCUGUCAAGGGUAUACGAAUAGCUGCCCUCCACCGCUAGAACCUCCGAACAAGCUCUCAAGAGGCAGGACUUGAACUGAGCUUGGAAGCCUGAACCCAGUGAGAUUAGU
rnacentral:snRNA from 1 species